UCCGGAGUAGCUCAACGGCAGAGCGGGUGGCUGUUAACCACUAGGUUGGGGGUUCAAAUCCCUCCUCCGGAG
rnacentral:tRNA from 1 species